UACGGAGGGUGCGAGCGUUAUCCGGAAUCACUGGGUUUAAAGGGUGCGUAGGCGGCCUUAUAAGUCAGUUGUGAAAUAUCCUCGCUUAACGAGGGGACUGCGAUUGAUACUGUAGGGCUUGAAUUGGGUUGAGGCAGGCGGAAUGUGGCAUGUAGCGGUGAAAUGCAUAGAUAUGCCAUAGAACACCGAUUGCGAAGGCAGCUUGCUGGACCUUGAUUGACGCUGAGGCACGAAAGCGUGGGGAGCAAACAGG
rnacentral:rRNA from 1 species